CAAUAGCGUAUAUUAAAGUUGUUGCAGUUAAAAAGCUCGUAGUUGGAUUUGUGGCGUACUUCGGCGGCCCGUCACUAUGUGAUGGAGCUUGCUGAAGUCGCCAUCCUUGGGUGGAUCCUGUGUGGCAUUAAGUUGUCGUGCAGGGGAUGCCCAUCGUUUACUGUGAAAAAAUUAGAGUGUUCAAAGCAGGCUUAUGCCGUUGAAUAUAUUAGCAUGGAAUAAUAAGAUAGGACCUUGGUACUAUUUUGUUGGUUUGCGCACCAAGGUAAUGAUUAAUAGGGACAGUUGGGGGUAUUCGUAUUUCAUUGUCAGAGGUGAAAUUCUUGGAUUUUUGAAAGACGAACUACUGCGAAAGCAUUUACCAAGGAUGUUUUCAUUAA
rnacentral:rRNA from 1 species